rnacentral:rRNA from 1 species
UACGGGGGGAGCAAGCGUUGUUCGGAUUUACUGGGCGUAAAGGGCGCGUAGGCGGCCACCGCAAGUCGAUUGUGAAAUCUCCGGGCUUAACCCGGAAAGGUCAACCGAUACUGCGGGGCUAGAGUGCAGAAGGGGCAACUGGAAUUCCCGGUGUAGCGGUGAAAUGCGUAGAUAUCGAGAGGAACACCUGCGGCGAAGGCGGGUUGCUGGGCUGACACUGACGCUGAAGUGCGAAAGCUAGGGGAGCGAACGGG